rnacentral:rRNA from 10 species
AAAUUGAAGAGUUUGAUCAUGGCUCAGAUUGAACGCUGGCGGCAGGCCUAACACAUGCAAGUCGAACGGUAACAGGAAGCAGCUUGCUGCUUUGCUGACGAGUGGCGGACGGGUGAGUAAUGUCUGGGAAACUGCCUGAUGGAGGGGGAUAACUACUGGAAACGGUGGCUAAUACCGCAUAACGUCGCAAGACCAAAGAGGGGGA